ACAAGACGACCGACCCUUCUCUAGCGUCGUUGGCGGCGGCGGAGCAGGUGCCAGCGCACGGCGUCAGGGACCAUGGCGCCGCCGGCGGAGCCACGCCGACCGUACAAGAGACCGGCCAUCUCCGACCAGCAGCGCCGCCGGGAGCUUGCCCUCCAGGCGCAGUCCGCCCGGCGCGCCGACGCCCAGGCGCGCGCCCGCGCCCUCGCCACUUCCCUCCUCACCACCCAGGCCCCUGCCGCAGCCACCCGUCGCCACGAGGAGGAAGAGUACGACGAGCAUGUGGAGGAGGAUCAAGAGCACGAGCUCACCGUCGCUGGCGUCGCGGCGGCGGCGGCCGCCUCCAGGCUCCGCGGCGCCGACGCGCGCCGGUGGUUCGCGCGCCAGAUCAUGCUUCCUGAGUGGAUGGUCGAUGCCCCGCCCCACCUCUCCACCGACUGGCAUGUGUUUGCACGACCUUCUGGCAAACGAUGUUUGGUUGUGUCAUCCAAUGGCAUGACGAUCAGCAGGGUUCGUAACGGGUCCAUCCUUCAUCGCUUCCCUUCGGCUCUACCGAAUGGAUCAAAGAGAGAUAUUUCUGGCCCAGCGAGCUCGUACUCCAUUCUUGAUUGCAUUUUUCAUGAGCCUGAUGAAACAUACUAUAUCAUUGAUAUGAUCUGUUGGAGAGGCUAUUCGCUAUAUGACUGCACUGCCGAGUUCAGGUUUUUCUGGGUCAACUCUAAGAUCGCAGAAACUUCUGCUGGUGAUCCUCCGUCAACGUACCAUAGAUAUAGAUUCAGUGCGCUCCCUGUAUACGAGUGCACUCUUGAGGGUCUCCAAGCAGCAUACUCGGGCAGCAUGCCCUAUGUCAAAGAUGGCUUGCUGUUCUACAACAAGCAUGCACAUUAUCAAGCUGGGAUUACUCCCCUUGCCCUGGUAUGGAAAGAUGAGACUUGUAGCCAAUAUGUUAUUGAUACAGACAAGAAAGGAGAAAUACCAAGUGAACAACAUCUUGUGUUGGAGCUGCUAGAAGAUGGAAGCGUAGUUACUUCUGACGAUCCUCCUGUUGCAUUUGGUAGCUUGGACAGUGCGUUCAUACAGAAGUCAAACCUGCGACCAGGGAAUCUUCUCCGCUUUGCAGUUAGAGAUGAAAGUGUGAAACUUGUGGACGGAAAGAUGCAGAUCGGUCAGCUGCAGUUUGUGGGAAAGCCAAACCGUGCUCGUGCUUUUGCUGACAGCCAUUCAAAAGUUUUGUUCCAGUAUGCAGCGAGGCAUGUUCCUCUGAGAAUUGAGGAUCUGGUUGCCUCCAUUCAAUCAAACAACAUGGAGCUUGAAUCCACUGACGUUGAAAUGCAAGAUUAAGGAAGGGGACUUUGUUAUCAAUUGAAACUUUUUGUAACGUAUGAAUGACGAUGCAAAGCUAGCACGUAAGGAGAUGCAAAUGCAACUAAAGGUUGAAGAUGCUUUCAUGUCAGGAUUUCAGCAAAUGACGUGAUUGUCUGAAACACAUGUUUUACCUCAAGGCCUGUAAAAGGUUUAAACAACGCAUGAGUUUUUGGAAAGAUGAACAUUCUGAACAUUGCCAUCCACGUGGAUGUGACGGAUAUAGUGCAACUCAAAGUGUGAAGGAAAAAAGUGUUGUAUCUACAUAAUUGGAUUUCUCCGUAUUUGAUGAUCCUCGCUGCCAGUGUGGACACAUACGAAUCUAAUUGUCUAACAUAGUGUCCUUUUUUUUUAAAAAAAAUAUUACUGAGCAAAUCAAUGUAGUAGCUGCGAGCUGCUGUCUUGGUUGUUUAUUGCAGACUAAAAAAGGAUGCGUUAGCAGUCA